CCUACGGGAGGCAGCAGUGAGGAAUAUUGGUCAAUGGGCGGAAGCCUGAACCAGCCAAGUAGCGUGCGGGAUGAAGGCCCUACGGGUCGUAAACCGCUUUUGCACGGGGAUAACACCCCCCACGUGUGGAGGUCUGCAUGUACCGUGCGAAUAAGGGCCGGCUAAUUCCGUGCCAGCAGCCGCGGUAAUACGGAAGGCCCGAGCGUUAUCCGGAUUCAUUGGGUUUAAAGGGAGCGUAGGCGGGCGUUCAAGUCAGCUGGAAAAUCCCGCGGCUCAACCGCGCCCCGCAGUUGAAACUGGGAGUCUUGAGUUCACAACAGGUAGGCGGAAUUCGUGGUGUAGCGGUGAAAUGCAUAGAUAUCACGAGGAACCCCGAUUGCGAAGGCAGCCUGCCGGGGUGCGACUGACGCUGAGGCUCGAAGGUGCGGGUAUCGAACAGGAUUAGAUACCCUGGUAGUC
rnacentral:rRNA from 1 species